rnacentral:rRNA from 1 species
AGUAGCGCGCUCAAGACCCGAAGCGGAGUGAUCUAGCCAUGGGCAGGUUGAAGCGGAGGUAAGACUUCGUGGAGGACCGAACCCACCAGGGUUGAAAACCUGGGGGAUGACCUGUGGUUAGGGGUGAAAGGCCAAUCAAACUCCGUGAUAGCUGGUUCUCCCCGAAAUGCAUUUAGGUGCAGCGUCGUGUGUUUCUUGCCGGAGGUAGAGCACUGGAUAGGCGAUGGGCCCUACCGGGUUACUGACCUUAGCCAAACUCCGAAUGCCGGUAAGUGAGAGCGCGGCAGUGAGACUGUGGGGGAUAAGCUCCAUGGUCGAGAGGGAAACAGCCCAGAGCAUCGACUAAGGCCCCUAAGCGUACGCUAAGUGGGAAAGGAUGUGGAGUCGCAGAGACAACCAGGAGGUUGGCUUAGAAGCAGCCACCCUUGAAAGAGUGCGUAAUAGCUCACUGGUCUAGUGAUUCCGCGCCGACAAUGUAGCGGGGCUCAAGCGUACCGCCGAAGUCGUGUCAUUGCGAUAUAUACCCCCAACGGGGAUCGUGAUGGGUAGGGGAGCGUCGUGUGCCGGGUGAAGCAGCACCGGAAGGUAGUUGUGGACGGUUCACGAGUGAGAAUGCAGGCAUGAGUAGCGAUACAAACGUGAGAAACGUUUGCGCCGAUUGACUAAGGGUUCCUGGGUCAAGCUGAUCUGCCCAGGGUAAGUCGGGACCUAAGGCGAGGCCGACAGGCGUAGUCGAUGGAUAACCGGUUGAUAUUCCGGUACCCGCUGUGAAGCGUCAAACAUCGAAUCCAGUGAUGCUAAGCCCGUGAAGCCGCCGGCUGAGUCUUCGGACGAGGUCGGAGUGGUGGAGCCGGUGACCCGAGCUGGUAGUAGGUGAGUGAUGGGGUGACGCAGGAAGGUAGUCCAUCCCGGGCGGUGGUUGUCCCGGGGUAAGGGUGUAGCCCGAGUGGUAGGCAAAUCCGCCACUCAUACAGGGUGAGACCUGAUGCCGAGCCGAUUGUGGUGAAGUGGAUGAUCCUAUGCUGUCGAGAAAAGCCUCUAGCGAGUUUCAUGGCGGCCCGUACCCUAAACCGACUCAGGUGGUCAGGUAGAGAAUACCGAGGCGUUCGGGUGAACUAUGGUUAAGGAACUCGGCAAAAUGCCCCCGUAACUUCGGGAGAAGGGGGGCCACAUCCGGUGAGAGGACUUGCUCCUCGAGCUGGGGGUGGCCGCAGAGACCAGCGAGAAGCGACUGUUUACUAAAAACACAGGUCCGUGCGAAGCCGUAAGGCGAUGUAUACGGACUGACGCCUGCCCGGUGCUGGAACGUUAAGGGGACCGGUUAGUCCGAUUUCGGUCGGGCGAAGCUGAGAACUUAAGCGCCAGUAAACGGCGGUGGUAACUAUAACCAUCCUAAGGUAGCGAAAUUCCUUGUCGGGUAAGUUCCGACCUGCACGAAUGGCGUAACGACUUCUCGACUGUCUCAACCAUAGGCCCGGUGAAAUUGCACUACGAGUAAAGAUGCUCGUUUCGCGCAGCAGGACGGAAAGACCCCGGGACCUUUACUACAGUUUGAUAUUGGUGUUCGGUUCGGCUUGUGUAGGAUAGCUGGGAGACUGUGAAGCUUGGACGCCAGUUCAGGUGGAGUCGUCGUUGAAAUACCAGUCUGGUCGUGCUGGAUGUCUAACCUGGGUCCGUGAUCCGGAUCAGGGACAGUGUCUGAUGGGUAGUUUAACUGGGGCGGUUGCCUCCUAAAGAGUAACGGAGGCGCCCAAAGGUUCCCUCAGCCUGGUUGGCAAUCAGGUGUUGAGUGUAAGUGCACAAGGGAGCUUGACUGUGAGACCGACGGGUCGAGCAGGGACGAAAGUCGGGACUAGUGAUCCGGCGGUGGCUUGUGGAAGCGCCGUCGCUCAACGGAUAAAAGGUACCCCGGGGAUAACAGGCUGAUCUUCCCCAAGAGUCCAUAUCGACGGGAUGGUUUGGCACCUCGAUGUCGGCUCGUCGCAUCCUGGGGCUGGAGUCGGUCCCAAGGGUUGGGCUGUUCGCCCAUUAAAGCGGUACGCGAGCUGGGUUUAGAACGUCGUGAGACAGUUCGGUCCCUAUCCGCUGUGCGCGUAGGAGUCUUGAGAAGGGCUGUCCCUAGUACGAGAGGACCGGGACGGACGAACCUCUGGUGUGCCAGUUGUCCUGCCAAGGGCAUGGCUGGUUGGCUACGUUCGGGAGGGAUAACCGCUGAAAGCAUCUAAGCGGGAAGCCUGCUUCGAGAUGAGGACUCCCACCCACUUGAUGGGGUAAGGCUCCCAGUAGACGACUGGGUUGAUAGGCCGGAUCUGGAAGCACGGUAACGUGUGGAGGUGACCGGUACUAAUAGGCCGAGGGCUUGUCCUC